UGUACUUUGAGGACCUGUUUCCCUCAAAGGGA
rnacentral:piRNA from 1 species